rnacentral:lncRNA from 1 species
CAACUGCACUCUUCUGGUCCACGUUUGUUAUGGCUUGAGCUGAGCUUUUGCUCGCCAUCCACCACUGCUGUUUGCCUCCGUCGCAGACCUACCACUGACUCCCAUCCCUCCGGAUCCGGCAGGGUGUCUGCUGUGCUCCUGAUCCAGUGAGGCGCCCAUUGCCACUCCCGAUCGGGCUAAAGGCUUGCCAUUGUUCCUGCACGGCUAAGUGCCCGGGUUCGUCCUAAUUGAGCUGAACACUAGUCACUGUGUUCCAAGGUUCUCUUCCGUGACCCAUAACUUCUAAUAGAGCUAUAACACUCACCACAUGGCCCAAGAUUCCAUUCCUUGGAAUCCUGUGAGGCCAAGAACCUCAGGUCAGAGAAUAUGAGGCUUGCCACCAUCUUGGAAGUGACCCGCCGCCGUUUUGGAAGUAGCCUACCACCAUCUUGGGAGCUCUGGGAGCAAGGACCCCUGGUAACAUUUUGGAGACCACGAAGGGACAUCCAAAGUGGCCAUUGUAGACAAUUUAUCCUAUUACCCCAGAAGCGACUGAGAUGGUGGAAAUUAAUGAUUAGGAAAAAGAAGGCCAGAGGAGAAGUAAAAAACAGGGAAAGGCCAGUCUAUGGAGCAGUAAGAAUACACACAACAUUCAUCGAUUAAGGUUGUCAUCUUACACUGUGCCCCAAAACACCAUAUAAUUUUGUGAUGUCCCAGAACAAUUACAAUAGUAACAAUCUAGAGCACUGAUCACAAAUCAUCCUAAAAGAUACAAUAAUAAUAAAAAUGUUUGAAAUAUUGUGAAUAUUAUGUGACACAGACACAAGGUGAGCACAUGCUGUCAAAAAAAAAUGGUGCCAUAAACUUGCUUGACACAAGGUUGCACAAACCUUCAAUUUGUAAAAAAAAUGUAAUACCUGAGAAGCACAAUAAAGCAAAAUGC